UACAGAGGGGGCAAGCGUUGUUCGGAAUUACUGGGCGUAAAGCGCGUGUAGGCGGCUCUUCAAGUCAGGCGUGAAAGCCCCGAGCUUAACUCGGGAACUGCGCUUGAUACUGUCGAGCUAGAGUGUGGAAGGGGCGAUUGGAAUUCCGUGUGUAGCGGUGAAAUGCGUAGAUAUACGGAGGAACACCAGAGGCGAAGGCGGAUCGCUGGGCCAACACUGACGCUGAGACGCGAAAGCUAGGGGAGCAAACGGG
rnacentral:rRNA from 1 species